rnacentral:sRNA from 1 species
GGAUGUUUUUGGAAAGGAAAAAAUGAACAAGGUUUCCGUAGGUGAACCUGCGGAAGGAUCAUUACUGAGUGAGGGCCCUCUGGGUCCAACCUCCCACCCGUGUUUAUUGUACCUUGUUGCUUCGGUGCGCCCGCCUCACGGCCGCCGGGGGGCUUCUGCCCCCGGGUCCGCGCGCACCGGAGACACUAUUGAACUCUGUCUGAAGAUUGCAGUCUGAGCAUAAACUAAAUAAGUUAAAACUUUCAACAACGGAUCUCUUGGUUCCGGCAUCGAUGAAGAACGCAGCGAAAUGCGAUAACUAAUGUGAAUUGCAGAAUUCAGUGAAUCAUCGAGUCUUUGAACGCACAUUGCGCCCCCUGGUAUUCCGGGGGGCAUGCCUGUCCGAGCGUCAUUGCUGCCCUCAAGCACGGCUUGUGUGUUGGGCUCCGUCCCCCCGGGGACGGGUCCGAAAGGCAGCGGCGGCACCGAGUCCGGUCCUCGAGCGUAUGGGGCUUUGUCACCCGCUCUGUAGGCCCGGCCGGCGCCAGCCGACAACCAAUCAUCCUUUUUUCAGGUUGACCUCGGAUCAGGUAGGGAUACCCGCUGAACUUAAGCAUAUCAAUAAGCGGAGGAAAAGAAACCAACAGGGAUUACCUCAGUAACGGCGAGUGAAGCGGUAAGAGCUCAAAUUUGAAAGCUGGCUCCUUCGGGGUCCGCAUUGUAAUUUGCAGAGGAUGUUUCGGGAGCAGCCCCCAUCUAAGUGUCCUGGAACGGACCGUCAUAGAGGGUGAGAAUCCCGUAUGGGAUGGGGUGUCUGCGCCCAUGUGAAACUCCUUCGACGAGUCGAGUUGUUUGGGAAUGCAGCUCUAAAUGGGUGGUAAAUUUCAUCUAAAGCUAAAUAUUGGCCGGAGACCGAUAGCGCACAAGUAGAGUGAUCGAAAGAUGAAAAGCACUUUGAAAAGAGAGUUAAAAAGCACGUGAAAUUGUUGAAAGGGAAGCGCUUGCGAUCAGACUCGCCUUGGGGGUUCAGCCGGCAUUCGUGCCGGUGUACUUCCCCCAGGGCGGGCCAGCGUCGGUUUGGGUGGCCGGUCAAAGGCCCUUGGAAUGUAACGCCUCUCGGGGCGUCUUAUAGCCAAGGGGCCAUGCGGCCUACCUGGACCGAGGAACGCGCUUCCGCUCGGAACCUGGGAUAAUGGUCGUAAACGACCCGCCUUGAAAACCG